UGUUGAUUUCUUCUUCAAUUGCAGUUUGUAACUUUUUAAGAUUCAUGAUUAUAUGUCUUGUAUCAGUUCGAAAUUGUUGGGUUAUUCACUCCGGUCACUCCACCGAAAGAGUUCUUGGGUGGCUUGAGUUCUCUGAAUUUGUGCGUGUAUCAGAUUGGGAGGUGGAUUGAGGAGGAUGCUUCCGUUCUUGUUCCUGCUGAUAUAAAUCAUAUAAUCAACAUUAAGUUUGGGGAUAUUAUUCCAGCACAUGCUUGUCUCCUCGAUGGUGAUCCACUGAAAUUGAUCAGUCUACACUUGUCGGUGAGUCACUUCCUGUGAUCAAAGGCUCUGGUGACAUUGUGUAUUUGGGGUCUACAUGAAAACAAGGAGAGAUUGAAGCUAUGGUGAUUGCCACUAGUGUUCAUACCUUUUUUGGCAAGGCUGCUCAUCUUGUCGAUAACACAAAUCAACAGGCCCACUUUUAAAAGUGCUAGUGGGAUUCCAGGAGAGAAUAUGGGUGUUAUUAUACAAUUCCUCUUGAUCAUGGUCAAUCUGGGAGGACAGAUAGCCUCUUGUAUAUCCUUCAUGGACUCUGCUAACCUAUGCUUCGAUGACUAUUGGUUUUCUUUGGUUGCUGGGAUAUUGAAGACAAAAUAAAAGAGAAGAAAAUGAAAUGAAAUGGGCAUGUCCUUCAUUUUCUCUAUGGUUUUCUGGGUGCAGAAACAUACUGUGAUUGAGUCCAAGCCUGAACAUUUUCUGGAUGACCUUCGUUUGAAUAAUCCAUGGCCUGAGCUUAGAAGGUCCAGAGUUGCAACAAAUAAUUAGUGACAGCCGUUCUUAAGUUCAUUCCGGUUAAUCAGACUUUUGGGUCAUGGUGGCGGCAUUGAAGAUUUGUGAAACCAAGAUUGAAUCUGCGACAACUGGAUAUAGUGUGCAUAAAUUAGAUCUGUUUAUCUUGGAAUUCCUAGCAAAUGAAGGUGGUGGUGAGGCACCCCUCGAGGGAUCAG